CGAAGGGUGCUAGCGUUGUUCGGAAUCACUGGGCGUAAAGCGCGCGUAGGCGGUUAUUCAAGUCAGGGGGUGAAAUCCUGAGGCUCAACCUCAGAAUUGCCUUUGAAACUGUAUAACUGGAGUGUCGGAGGGGAUAGCGGAAUUGCUAAUGCAGCGGUGAAAUGCGUAGAUAUUAGCAGGAACACCGGUGGCGAAGGCGGCUAUCUGGACGACAACUGACGCUGAGGCGCGAAAGCGCGGGGAUCAAACAGGAUUAGAUACCCUGGUAGUCCGCGCUGUAAACGAUGGAUGCUAGCCGUUGGGGGGUUACCUCUCAGUGGCGCAGCUAACGCGUUAAGCAUCCCGCCUGGGGAGUACGGUCGCAAGAUUA
rnacentral:rRNA from 1 species